rnacentral:rRNA from 1 species
GAACGGCAUCCGGAACUGUCAGGCUAGAGUGCAGGAGAGGAAGGUAGAAUUCCCGGUGUAGCAGUGAAAUGCGUAGAGAUCGGGAGGAAUACCAGUGGCGAAGGCGGCCUUCUGGACUGACACUGACACUGAGGUGCGAAAGCGUGGGUAGCAAACAGGAUUAGAUACCCUGGUAGUCCACGCCGUAAACGAUGUCGACCAGCCGUUGGGUGCCUAGCGCACUUUGUGGCGAAGUUAACGCGAUAAGUCGACCGCCUGGGGAGUACGGCCGCAAGGUUAAAACUCAAAUGAAUUGACGGGGGCCCGCACAAGCGGUGGAGCAUGUGGUUUAAUUCGAUGCAACGCGAAGAACCUUACCUACUCUUGACAUCCUGCGAACUUGUGAGAGAUCA